AGUUUAGAUGUUUCUUUUCCUUCUUGAGCUAUAUAUAUGUUACCUUGACAUUUAAUUGAAGUGUAUAUUUAAGUAAACACGAUCUUAAUUUAUUGACUAGAAAUAAUAUGAUUGACUUUUCUACGGUUUAUAAGUUCAAAGUCGUCUCCUCCAGUGUCCCCUGCUAAGAAAAAGUUAUUAAGGAAGUAAAAUUAGGUGGUAAUAGUAAAAGAAUAAGCUUUAAAGGAACAUAUAUACUAAGUAAGAUUUAUGAUGAUAUAACUUAAA
rnacentral:lncRNA from 1 species